UGCGUAGACGGUUAUUGUAAGUCGGGUGUGAAAGCCCCGGGCUCAACCUGGGAAUUGCAUUCGAGACUGCAUAGCUAGGGUGCGGAAGAGGGAAGCGGAAUUUCCGGUGUAGCGGUGAAAUGCGUAGAUAUCGGAAGGAACACCAGUGGCGAAAGCGGCUUCCUGGUCCAGCACCGACGUUCAGGCACGAAAGCGUGGGGAGCAAACGAGGAUUAGAUACCCUGGUAGUCCACGCCAUAAACGAUGAGAACUAGACGUUGAGAGGGUAAGCCUCGCAGUGUCGUAGCUAACGCGCUAAGUUCUCCGCCUGGGGAGUACGGCCGCAAGGUUGAA
rnacentral:rRNA from 1 species